AGAUAAGGUAUAAGCUAGUGAGAUGAAUAAGUGAUAGCCAGAGAUACAGUAUAAAUCGGAAUCUACCUGUGAUGGUGGAUAAGUAACACGUAAUGGCUCGUGUUGAUGAGGGAAAAAUUUAAAUCGCGAUGCUCCGAUAUUGAGAGAUGCCGUUGUGAAAGGUAACAAAAGUGCAGUUAUAUGAUCUGUAGAGUUAUUAAUAAAUAAUAACUAAUGUGAACCCGAUAAGAGACAAGUAAGCGGUGAUUAUUCUCUUAGGAUCAAUCAAAGAAAAGGAAGGAAAUGAGUAUACGAAUUAAGUUUCCUCAUGGGCUUGUAGUGACAAGUUAAGUCAGUGUAUCUUGUUAAUAAUGUUAGUAAGAUGUAAUAGUCUAUGACGAGGCUGGAAGUAGCGUGUAUCUUGGUUUGCUAGGGAACGCGUCCCUUUAAUUUUUGUUUGUAUGGAAAAAUAAUAUAGACAUACUAGGUUGAUGUCCAAGAGGAUGUCAACGGAACAAUGCUGAAAAUAGUGUAGAUCUUGAUACGCGAGUGAGCGAACAACGAGCAAGCGUGUGUUAAGGUAGAAGCUAUUGCUGCCCGCCACACAUGUUCCAUGUCCCUGUAUAAGUAGCAUAGAAUUACUCGGAUGCUAAUGAUCGUUAAGGAGCAAGAACCCGGAGAAUGUUUCGGGUCAGGGAGAGCUAGUAGAAAUUUUAGAUUGAAGAUGAAUAUUACUGGUGACAUCACGCGCACGUCGGGUCCGGUAGAUUCCCGUAGUGACUGGACGAGAACAGAGAAGGAAGGACAUAGAAUUUUUAUGGACAGGUAUUGACGUCUCCAGAGUGAUGAACGGCCUUAAUUGGGAUUCCAGUGGGGUUGACAGCUAUCGUCGGUACGUGGUGAGAGAUUGGAUAGCGCAUGAUGCGAGCAUACUAAUAGCCCGGACCAUUCGACAGGGCGCAACUCAGUUUAAUUCGGCGUGUGAGGUGAGGAACACCACAAGGAGGCAGUUAAAGGAAAUUUAAAUAGCGAACGCGCGCAUGAGAGGGGUUUCGGAAUGAACUAAAGAGAAGGCGUUAUGUCUUAUGGUAUGGUGCCGCAGCCGUAUCAAAUGACGAUCUUGAUGAGGCCAGAGAUUAGCAAAAGCUUUGAGAUCGGAUGCAGGAACUAGUAGCCUAAGCGGGAACUGAUCACGGAAGCGGAAACAGUGAGGACUUACCCAGUAGUUUAAAGUGGAGAGCGGUAAGUUAUGAGAUCGGGAGCCAGCGAGGAUUAAGAGACGAAAGGAUCGGGACGAGCAGAGAAUUAGUCAGUGUAACGUCCGUUCAGUCAGUCGAACUGAUGCCUGAAAAAUUAGCGUCGUUAGUAGUAUCUGUGGGGACCUCGACCUUAAUGGCGCCUACGACCGUGGUCUGAACUGGAGGUCAAUAAUCACGCAAGAAAUGUGUGUGAAGCAUUAUGUGCAGAGGAGUGAUAGCGGGGAUGCGCCCGAAGCUAUUAAAAGCGCGGACGACGACUGGAACCAGGACCAUCGGCAGAGAGUCCGAGGGAGAGGCCUUAGUUUGGGAGUAAGGGGCAUGGGCAGAAGCAGAUUCAUCCGGGAAUGGGAUGAAUGAUUGACUAUCCUACCGUCGAAUGAGAGGACGUGGUUUACCAAAUGCGGUGCUAAUUUUUUGGCGUUGAAUCUGCAAAAGGGUGGUCAAAGGGCCACAACAGGCAGGGUCCUCUUGUUUAUUGAGCGGGCAAUGACUCGGAAAGUGACGAGGCGAGGUGCGA
rnacentral:rRNA from 1 species